rfam:Spirochaetes bacterium GWC2_52_13 gwc2_scaffold_506, whole genome shotgun sequence.
GCCGAAAUGGUGGAAUUGGUAGACACAAGGGACUUAAAAUCCCUUGCUCGUAAGGGCGUGCGGGUUCAAGUCCCGCUUUCGGCA